rnacentral:snRNA from 1 species
GGAUUGAGGGUGAUCUGACUGUGACGUCUGACUGUCACUCCAUUGAUCAUCAGGGUUGAUGCAUUGCUCUGGCUGGCUAAACAGGUGUCUUCUCCCUCCCUCCCUCCCUCCCUCCCAGGUCCAGCAUUAGAUGACCUCCCUGAUAAAGAAGGUUCACUCUUUGCUCAAGGGUCUAUGAGUAGCCAUGAUCCUCUGCUGAAGCUUCAAAACAAUCCCUCAAACAUUCUGAUACUGCCGUAAGGAUCUGUAGGCUCGUUCAUGGUCAGUCUCUAUGUCACAGAC